CUCCUGUUGAAUGUAGGAUUCACUCAUUUUGAGCUUAAUAGUUUUAUUGCAAUUGUGUUCAUUGGAUUUUCAAGAUUGUGUAUUAUUGUAAAAUAUGCACAACAUAAUCCUGAGCUUAAUUAUUUUAUCUCUUCUACCCCCAGAUAUUGUGCACAGGUCAGAGAGUUGUCUCUCUCAGGCCACAAGUACCCACAGGUCAGGCACUAGCCAGGCCUCCAGUGACCUUGUUGUUGAAUACAUGUCUGAGCUCCAUACCAACUGCCUUGACACCGCAUUGCCUGUGAGGUGCACUUCUACAGCUGUUGGCGAUACAGAGACUUGUCACGUCCCCUCUGCCAGAGUGAAGAAGAAGAGUCAGGGCCGGAGGUUCAGUUGCUGCCCAAAGUUGCCAACGGUCAGCAUCAAGAUGAUGAUCAUGCUGUCCCAUUCAUUCCCCAACUUGAGGACGACCUGCCACCAGCACCUGCACAGGAGUCCCGUAAACGUCCCCUGUUGGUGAGAAUGUUCCGGGCCAUUUCCAGGGCCAUCUCGAAGCCAUUCAAGGGCUGUGCUUUUUGCAAGAAGAAUUAGGAAAGGGUUAGCCAUCAACAUCUAAUAAACAUGUUAGCAGCAUUGAUUUGUGUGUCU
rnacentral:lncRNA from 1 species